ACGGUGGUACCUUGUACACACAGAUGUUUAUGCAAGCGCGCUUAUUUUUACUGCAUUUUUAACCACAACUGUGUUUACAAAUGUGUUGCAGCUGAUUGGGUAACACCUCUGACACGCCCACCAAACGGCACAACACAAGGUACACAUGAGAUGCCAUCCGACCCCCGUGGCCUCCCAGUGAACCUGCUAGAGGAUGACUGACGUCUUCAAAACCAGCAAUGUUCAGCAACCUGUUUGCCCGGGCGGAGGAGUACGAGGAUUCCCAGACCAAGCCUCCCAAGUCCCGCCCUAAGGCUCCGGCCUCCUCGAAUCUCUCCUGGAAAGGAGCAGCACCGCCCACCAACAACAAGGAGGAGAGCGCCUCCAGCAGCGCCUCAGUACAUAACCCCACCUCCACCUGCUCCUCUGUGUGAGGACAACCUGAAUCUGAGUCUUGCUCUUUGAUUGAUCCGUUUCAAAACUACAACGGAAAAUUUGAUAUUUAAUGUGUCUGAUUUGUGA